rnacentral:rRNA from 1 species
UACGUAGGUGACCAGCGUUGUCCGGAUUUACUGGGCGUAAAGAGCGCGCAGGCGGUCGUUCAAGUCGAGUGUGAAAGCCCCCGGCUCAACUGGGGAGGGUCAUUCGAUACUGAUCGACUCGAAGGCAGGAGAGGGAAGCGGAAUUCCCGGUGUAGUGGUGAAAUGCGUAGAUAUCGGGAGGAACACCAGUGGCGAAGGCGGCUUCCUGGCCUGUUCUUGACGCUGAGGCGCGAAAGCGUGGGUAGCAAACAGG